CGCCGCCGCCGCGCUGGGCCCGCUCCAGAGAGCCCUCACCUGGGACCGCUGGCCGCCCCGCCGGAUUCCUCCGGGCGGGGCUGGAAGGACCGCGCCCACCUCCGCCCGGCAGCAUCAAAGUGGGAAACCGAGGCUGGGGGAGGUACAACCUUGCCUCCAGAGCCUAGUACAGGGCCUGGCAGGCAGAGGGUGCUGAAGUUGGCUGAUUGACUGAAUGGACUGAGACCACGGAACUCUGAAAGACGGAACAAUUAGACUUGCAUCAUCUGGUUCUAAAGAUGACGGUUGGAAGUUUCAGAAGCCUGGAGGGGACCAUUCUGCCCUGAAGCAUUUCUCUCCAAAGACACUUUACUGAAAGUGACUGUCACUGAGCCCCUCUGAUGUGCCCCUGCUGUGAUGAAGGGCACUGAGAGAUGGGAUUGGAAAACGCAAUGAACCAGUCUUCAUGCUUGAUCAGUCAGAGAGGAUCUUCAGCCCUGCCCCUCGUCUCCACCUUCCGAACCCAGGAAAAGUCCACUGGUGAGAAUCCAGCUCUGGACGUGCGCUGACCAGAUGGGGUCACAGCCCUGCCACAUCCCAGCAGGGUGACUGUGACUAAACCUCUUAACCUGUCCAGGCUUCAGCUUCUCCAUCUGCACAUUGGGAGACAUAACUCACAGACUUGUCCUGAGGAUUAAAGGAGAUAAUUCAAGCUCUUAGUAUAGUGCCCGGCCCCAAGAAAAAAUACACCAAAAGUUGAGUAUUAUUAUUUUUUUGUUGCUGUUUCUUUUUUUUUUUUUUUGCGGUAUGCGGGCCUCUCACUGUC